UGUGAUAAAAGUUAACACACAAAUUAAACCCUCUUGUUGACAAUUGUAGUAGAGAUGCAAGUAGGGAUGGUUCUAAACCGGGGAUUAGUAGAGAUUGCUAAAACACUUGAAACUGACUAAAAAACAUAAAACUAAGUUUAAAACCCUAAACUAGAUUAAAAAAGACUCAAUAUAAACUCACAAGACUCAAAACUAACUAGAAAGACUCAAAACAGCACAAAACAAUGAAAUAGACACUAAACUGACUCUAGGGAGUUAUUUGGACGAAAUUAGGUUUUAGCUUGACUCAAGACACUUAACAACACAACUCAAAACAGAUUUUAACUAAUCUAACACUUCAAAGUAAAUGGGGAUUUGAUUUUGACGAAUUUGAAAACAAAACAAACAAAUUGUAAACUAAAAUAGAUUUUGGACGAAUCUGGGGAAUAAGGUGGAUGAUGGGCUAGCUAGAGGGUUCUUCUCCACACAUGACACACUUGCACAUAAACCAAUUUUCAGUUGUUCUUUCAACAAACUAUGAAACUCAACACCUCAGGUUAAUUAGGUCCACUUAAAUUAACCUUCAAGUUCUCCUUAAGUUAUUGAAUUGGAUGAUUGCAUACAACAAUUCAAAACAUUCUCUAAAAGUUCCCUACGUGAAUUGCACAAUAGAGACACAAUCAAAGAUCAUUAAGCAUCAAGAAAACUAUAAGUAUUGACGAGGCAAUUGUAACUAUGAUGAGCAUGAAACUCUUGCCAAGAAUUCAUUUAACGCAAUCAUUUAUAAGCGACCUUCACUAUUUGUGAAUAUAUGUUUGUAACUAUUAGGUGAAACUCCCUUAUAUUCUAGCAUCAUAUUCAUGCAUGCAAACUAAGUAUGCAUCCUUAAUAAAAAAACAUGAAUAAGUUAUCAAUCAAACAGUUAAACAAAUUGAAUUCACAAUUUAUGAAAUACAACCAAAGGUAAUAAAUUCAUAUUGCAAGCAUGUUCAUGGCUUUGAAUCUCCCCCUAGCCAAAAAGGGUUUAGUUCCUCAUAAUCGCAAAGCAAAGAUAAACAUAUUUAUUCAUUGAAAACAAAAGAAAGAAAACACCUAGACGCUCCAACGCUCCAAACUAAACAGCAAGCACGUCCACGAACUUUCCUCAUUCCUCCUUGUUGCUGCACAAGGUCUAGGGACAGGCUUUGGGGGUUAUGAAUGGUGUAGAAGGAUGGGGUUAAGGCUAGGAUAAGUGUAUGGUGCGGCAGGGGUUGUUUUAGGUCAGAAACUAUGGAGAAUGGUGAGGGAUGGCUGCAACAAAGAGGGAAAAAGGGUUUCUGGCAUGAAUUGUGAAUAUGGGAGGUGUGUGUUGCGGCAUAGAGUUAAUAUGAAUAUAUAUAGGGACAUAAAACCUUAGGGAAAUCAGAUUAGGCCUUGGACUUGGCAGAAAAUAAGGAUUAGGGCCCAAACAAUUAGAAUUCAAAGGGGAAAAGGCUUAAAAGGUGCGGCAGAUAUGUAGGAAAGAGAUUGGGCUUCUAGAAUGCCUUGCAAGGCAAGGAAAAAGGUUUCUAGAAGGGCUUAGGUUUGGCAAAGGUCCUAAAUCUGAAAGGGAUUGGUUUUCUUGUGCAACAAGGAUAGGAAAUGAAGGGAUAGGGCUUCUAGAAACCCACAAACCCAAGGAGAUGAACGACAAGGAUAGGGAAG
rnacentral:lncRNA from 1 species